rnacentral:rRNA from 1 species
GGACGUAGGGCGCGAGCGUUGUCCGGAAUUUAUUGGGCGUAAAGAGCUCGUAGGCGGCUUGUUGCGUCGACGUGUGAAAACCCGCGGCUUAACUGCGGGCUUGCAGUUGAUACGGGCAGGCUAGAGUUCGGUAGGGGGAGACUGGAAUUCCUGGUGUAGCGGUGAAAUGCGCAGAUAUCAGGAGGAACACCGGUGGCGAAGGCGGGGUCUCUGGGCCGAUACUGACGCUGAGGAAGCGAAAGCGUGGGGAGCAAACAG